AAUCUAUCAGAAAUAAACUAUGUGUGUAGAAGUUUAUUGAGUCUUAGUUUCGGACGCGGGUUCGACUCCCGCCACCUCCACAA
rnacentral:tmRNA from 1 species